GCCAAAGGGCUAAGUGGGCCCCUUCGACUCGGCAGGCCGGCAGACGUGACGGCAAUGUGAAGGAAGUCAAGUUUCUUUGUCCAUUCCUCACCUCCUCCUCCUCUCCAUCCUUAGACCUCCGAGGAACUCUAGUGUAUAGGAGGGAGCACCCAGCUACGGAUUCUAUACCCUCUAACCAUAAUUCUUCGUUUACAUAUGCCCGACCUUGCAGUUGGUCCCCAAACCAAAGGGGAAGGGAAUCUAACGGUUAAAGAAAGGGCAGCCAAGCCUCCAAAGUGCAUCCCAUCUGCCUGGAAGCCAGAUAUUCUCUUUUAAACUCAUUGUUUGGAUCUUGGAAUGUGUCUCCCAUAGAAACAAUGUUAUAAACGGCUAUCCGUUCCCAGACCAGCCAGCCUCAAAUGUGCGGAGGCCAAAGCGCAGCUGCGGGGUGGUGCUGGAAAUGUCCCACAACACUGAACAAGAAGGCUACUGAUCGGCUUUUUCUACUGUGAAAGGGGAGGGGGGUGUUAGGGAGAUAAAUGCAUCUAGUUCUUUCCCCUUGAGCUAUAAACACAAACCGGGUCCAUUAAUUUCUUUCACUGGAGCCAUUACUGUGUUUCAGGUUUCCCCAGGUCCUGCCUUGCUACAUGAUGCCCUUACCAACCUCUCUGCUGAUUUGUUUCUUCCAUGGUAUUGUUGGAAAGGCUUUGCCCAGGGUGCAACCUCCUUAUACACAAUGGGGGCUCCCUAAGCUUUAAAGCUGGCACAAGUGUCACCUUUCCUUUGCAAUAUCACCACCUCUCGCCCUGCUUUCUCGGUGGCCUCGCAGAAGGGUUUCCAGACACAUCUGCAGGGAGCAUCUUGCCGUGCUGAGAACCAGCCUAGCUGCGGUCCUUGUCCUCCUCCACCUGCCUGCCUGUAAGUACUCAGCACACAGCAAACGAAAGGAAGAAAUGUAUUUGACAGAGUGUUGAAUGCCCAAGAGUGGUGUCUGUGGGGGCAACACAUGGGUUGUACCACACACGCGUGAUUGCCAUUCGGAACCCCCACGUGUUACAAACAGCAGCUCAUGCAGGCCUCACACAGUCUCAGGAGGUGGCUCUACUCCUGCACCAAGCCAGCAAGUGACUCAUUCAAGAUCAGAGACAGAAGUACGGUCCCUUGGUCCCUAGGCACUUCUGCUUCCUUCCUUCUGAGCAGCCAGGCUCAGCUGAGAGAUGAUGCCCGCUGAUCUUUACCUAGACUGCUAGCUCGCUUCCACUGACACCUGAAACCAGGUGAGGAACCUGAUCUGAGGCUGAGGCUGGCUUACGUCCCCGAGUUGGGUGGAGUCAAGUUUAUCUCAUGCUUAGUCUCCCAGCAGGCCUUGGAACCUGGGCGGAAACACAAUGCCCAGCUACUACCCCAGCCAACUUAUGAGGUUAGCAGAAGUUCCUGCUCAGUAUCUUCUCCUCACUCGCACCCUUUUGAAGUUCAACUAUGAUUUG